AUACGUAGGGUGCAAGCGUUAAUCGGAAUUACUGGGCGUAAAGCGUGCGCAGGCGGUUUUGUAAGACAGAGGGGAAAACCCCGGGCUCAACCUGGGAACUGCCUUUGUGACUGCAAGGCUAGAGUACGGCAGAGGGGGAUGGAAUUCCGCGUGGAGGAGGGAAAUGCGGAGAUCUGCGGAGGAACACCGAUGGCGAAGGCAAGCCCCUGGGCCUGUACUGACGCAGAUGCACGAAAGCGUGGGGAGGAAAGAGGAUGAGAUACCCUGGUAGUCCACGCCCUAAACGAUGUCAACUGGUUGUUGGGUCUUCAUUGACUCAGUUGCGGAGGUAACGCGUGAAGUUGCCCGCCUGGGGAAUUCGGGCGCAAGGUUGAAACUCAAAGGAAUUUACUGGG
rnacentral:rRNA from 1 species